UGCCAGCCGCCGCGGUAAUACGGAGGGGGUUAGCGUUGUUCGGAAUUACUGGGCGUAAAGCGCACGUAGGCGGAUUAGUCAGUCAGGGGUGAAAUCCCGAGGCUCAACCUCGGAACUGCCUUUGAUACUGCUAGUCUAGAGUUCGAGAGAGGUGAGUGGAAUUCCGAGUGUAGAGGUGAAAUUCGUAGAUAUUCGGAGGAACACCAAUUGCGAAGGCAGUUCACUGGACCGUGAUCGACGCUGAGGAGCGAAAGCUAGGGGAGCAAACAGGAUUAGAUA
rnacentral:rRNA from 1 species